AAAGAGACAGUGCUGGAAGCAGAGGACGUCAGAGUCCGAGAUGAGCGGUGGGGAGGUCGGCUUGAGUCCCCUGACCCUACUCUCAGGCUGUCCCGGAGCUUUUAAAGACUGAAAUCCAUCAUCAUUACAGUACGUCGUUGCCAAACCCGAGCAAGCCACACAGCAAUACUGACCACUGAGCCCCGCUGCAACCCACAAAUAUCCGGGGACACAGUGAGGCUGCCUCAUUAACUUUUAUCUCAAUUUUAAAGAAACUGGCAUCCUACACAACCCGAGUUCAAAGUUGUCAUGGGGAUACUGCAACUUAUAACACAUCACAAAGAUUUAUUCUUCUCCGCCCUAAAAGCCACUAUUGACUAUGGUAAUCAGUAAAAUGCUCAGGACUUCAAGGACACUGAAGUUAAACAAGGACCAGUUACUGUAAACAUCAAGACUCUCUCAGCCAUAUGAAAUGCUGGAAGAUUGGAGGAAAGGAACCUGGAGAUCAGGCUAAGGUGUGUCAAGAAAUAGGCAGAGCUGCAGGCGCUGGCUCAAUCUGCAGAUACUACCCCUCACCCAACUCACAACACCCUUGCACAUUCCCUACGGAACUCCCCGACUGACAAAAGAAGCUUCACACCCAACCAUUACCUCCUUAGAGAUUCCCAGCCUCUCCAUCUCUCUGCUCCUGGGAGCCAAACAUGGGUCCCUAUGCAGAGGUAAGGAUGGGAGCCCUGACUCUCAAGUCCCAAGCCAACAGUGCAAAUCUCAACAGGGUCCCCCGAUCCCAUUCCACACACACAUGGGAAAAAUGGUCUCCAGGGCCAGCUUUGCAGCAGAAGCAAAAAGAGGGAAUUUCGCUGGGCGCGGUGGCUCACGCCUAUAAUCCCAGUACUUUGGGAGGCUGAGGCGAGUGGAUCGCCUGAAGUCAAGAGUUCAAAAACAGCCUGACCAACGUGGCAAAAACUACUAAAAAUACAAAAAUUAGCUAGGUGUGGCGGCGCGCGCCUGUAAUCCCAGCUACACGGGAGGCUGAGGCAGGAGAAUCGCUUGAACCCGGGAGACAGAGAUUACAGUGAGCCACUGCACUCCAGACUGGGCGACAGAGCAAAACUAAAAAAAGAGGGAAUUUUGAGACCAAGUCUUGCAGCGCUUGGAAGAAGACAGAAAGAACUCAGGCUAUCAGAGAGCUGUUCAAAUUGGUUCCCUCUCUUUCAGACCACUUGCAUUUCCAGCGUGUCUUUUGCGGACAAGGUUGGGAAUGUCCCAUUUUAUCCUAAGGAAUCCUGGCCCCUAGGGCUGACUUGCUGUCCUAAAGGUAGCAUCGAGGCUCCCACGAGAAGCACAGACCUGGGAUACACAAGACACCGGGGUAGGACUGUUUGGAGUAAUGUGCCUUCCUCCACUCUGCCACCUCUGUGACUCAAGGGGCCUCCCCCACACCUCCCCUCAAACAAACAACAAUAAAAAAAGAUGUUGUU